rnacentral:lncRNA from 1 species
GAACAAUUGCUACCCUCCUCCCAUAUCGCCACUAUCAUCCUUUCCUAUAUUUAAUUUUCUUUUGUAUUAUACCUAUAAUAAUAAUAAAGUCCUGCCCCGUUUUAAGUGUUGUAACUCCCGAUCACCGCUAACCUUUCCGAUUGAUCUGAAACCCAUAACUCAUGUCAGGGCUCUGCCCGACUAAGUUCGUUGAGAUUCUAUCUCGGGACAAUGUUGAAUUAGGGGUACUAUACUUAACACGAGUGCAUUAUAUUUUUAUAGCUUAGAAAUUAAACCCAAAAUUUAUACCAGGAGAUUUUCUAGUUGAACCCUAAAGUACAAAGUGGGUCCAUUCUCUUUUCUCACUAUUUUAUUCCCUUUUUCUUUAUAAUAUAAUUAUACUCAAAAAGAUCCCAAAUUGAUCCGUUAGUAAAAACCCGGACCCCUGAAACCCCAAAUCAUAUCAACAAUCAAGAAAUCAAGAAUUCUUGUCUUCAGGCGGGCCGCGUAAAAAUAAGCCGAGGCUUACGCGGGCCGCGCUAGCAAGGCGGAUUUCCGGAUAAGCUUGAGGGACACGUGGCAUCCACCUGGCAGACCUAGUGGUGACUCAGCAACCCUACGCGUAGACUAGGCGGCUACGAGGGCCGCGUAAGAAUCGAGCCAAGGCUCACGCGGGCCGCGUGAGACCCAAUUUUCAGCUAUAAAUAGGACAGGCCACGAGCUUUCAGUUGAUGUCGAAACCAAAACUCGAAAAUAUAUUCCCACUGCUCAAAAUCACAAAUUAGCAUAACGGGGCGCUGCUACGAUACCGGGUAUUAACUCGAUCGCUGCUACGAUUCAAUGUCCGAUCGAUUGAAACUAUCCGACAUGAUGUUUAAGUGCUACUCAAAUUGGGUUAUCCUUUGUCAUUAGUCGUGAUUCUGACAGGAUGUUUGAGUACCACCCGAACUCGGGGAAUACUCUGUCAUUCGUUGUGAAUCCGAUGGAUGUUUAAGUGAUUGCACUUUGUCAUUUGUCGUGAGGGUUUUAAUCUCGUGAGUUUAUCGUAAAUGUUGUAUUAGUUACUUACCUAGUUUCGUAUGCAUUAUUAUUUAAAUUAGGUUAUCAGGCUUAUCCGUAGGCUAAACUUCACCCAUAUACUUACAACCAAAGUAGAUACUAAUUCUCAGAAGAAUCUGAAUCAUGAAGCUUGUUAAUUACUGUAUGCUUAUAAUGUAAUUACAGUAGAUUGGAGUAAGAAAUGGAUACGGCACUGAAAGACUUCAAGAAGUGGCUUAUUUUAUUUAAAUCAAAUUAAGAAAUAUUGUUUUAUGUAAUUGGGUUUAUCCCUUAUUAAAGCUACCUUUAUAAAACAGGGGUUUAUCCCAUCUAUUUAAUAAAUAAAAUCCGGUGUUU